rnacentral:rRNA from 1 species
UGGGGAAUUUUGGACAAUGGGGGCAACCCUGAUCCAGCCAUUCCGCGUGAGUGAAGAAGGCCUUCGGGUUGUGAAGCUCUUUUGUCCGGAACGAAACGGGUAGGCCCAAUACGCCUGCCUACUGACGGUACCGGAAGAAUAAGCACCGGCUAACUACGUGCCAGCAGCCGCGGUAAUACGUAGGGUGCGAGCGUUAAUCGGAAUUACUGGGCGUAAAGCGUGCGCAGGCGGUUUUGUAAGCCAGAUGUGAAAUCCCCGGGCUUAACCUGGGAAUGGCAUUUGGGACUGCAAGGCUGGAGUGCGGCAGAGGAGACUGGAAUUCCUGGUGUAGCAGUGAAAUGCGUAGAUAUCAGGAGGAAUACCGAUGGCGAAGGCAGGUCUCUGGGCUGACACUGACGCUCAUGCACGAAAGCGUGGGGAGCAAACAGGAUUAGAUACCCUGGUAGUCCACGCCCUAAACGAUGUCGACUGGUUGUUGGGGGUUUGACACUCUCAGUAACGAAGCUAACGCGUGAAGUCGACCGCCUGGGGAGUACGGCCGCAAGGUUAA